rnacentral:rRNA from 1 species
AUUGAACGCUGGCGGCAGGCCUAACACAUGCAAGUCGAGCGGAUGAGUGGAGCUUGCUCCAUGAUUCAGCGGCGGACGGGUGAGUAAUGCCUAGGAAUCUGCCUGGUAGUGGGGGACAACGUUUCGAAAGGAACGCUAAUACCGCAUACGUCCUACGGGAGAAAGCAGGGGACCUUCGGGCCUUGCGCUAUCAGGUGAGCCUAGGUCGGAUUAGCUAGUUGGUGAGGUAAAGGCUCACCAAGGCGACGAUCCGUAACUGGUCUGAGAGGAUGAUCAGUCACACUGGAACUGAGACACGGUCCAGACUCCUACGGGAAGCAGCAGUGGGGAAUAUUGGACAAUGGGCGAAAGCCUGAUCCAGCCAUGCCGCGUGUGUGAAGAAGGUCUUCGGAUUGUAAAGCACUUUAAGUUGGGAAGAAGGGCAGUAAGUUAAUACCUUGCUGUUUUGACGUUACCGACAGAAUAGGCACCGGCUAACUUCGUGCCAGCAGCCGCCGUAAAAC